rnacentral:rRNA from 1 species
GACGAACGCUGGCGGCGUGCCUAAUACAUGCAAGUCGAACGAGAGCGCCCGGUUCUUGCCCUGGUCAAUCUAGUGGCGAACGGGUGAGUAACACGUGGGUAACCUGCCCAUCAGAGGGGGAUAACAUCCGGAAACGGAUGCUAAAACCGCAUAGGUCUUCGAGCCGCAUGGCUUGAAGAGGAAAAGAGGCGCAAGCUUCUGCUGAUGGAUGGACCCGCGGUGCAUUAGCUAGUUGGUGAGGUAACGGCUCACCAAGGCCGUAAUGCAUAGCCGACCUGAGAGGGUGAUCGGCCACAUUGAGAGUGAGACGCGGCCCAAACUCCGACGGGAGGCAGAAGUAGGGAAUCUUGCGCAAUGGACGGAAGUCUGACGGAGCAGCGCCACGUGAGUGAAGAAGGUGUUCGGAUCGUAAAACUCUGUUGUUGGAGAAGAACAAGUGCGAGAGUAACUGUUAGCGCCUUGACGGUAUCUAGACAGAAAGCCACGGCUAACUACGUG